GCUGACGUUCUGUGUACAAUU
rnacentral:miRNA from 10 species